AUUGAACGCUGGCGGCAUGCUUUACACAUGCAAGUCGAACGGUAACAGGCCGCAAGGUGCUGACGAGUGGCGAACGGGUGGGUAAUGCAUCGGAACGUGCCCAGUCGUGGGGGAUAACGCAGCGAAAGCUGUGCUAAUACCGCAUACGAUCUAUGGAUGAAAGCGGGGGACCGUAAGGCCUCGCGCGAUUGGAGCGGCCGAUGUCAGAUUAGGUAGUUGGCGGGGUAAAGGCUCACCAAGCCAACGAUCUGUAGCUGGUCUGAGAGGACGACCAGCCACACUGGGACUGAGACACGGCCCAGACUCCUACGGGAGGCAGCAGUGGGGAAUUUUGGACAAUGGGCGCAAGCCUGAUCCAGCAAUGCCGCGUGCAGGAAGAAGGCCUUCGGGUUGUAAACUGCUUUUGUACGGAACGAAACGGCGAGCUCUAAUACAGUUUGCUAAUGACGGUACCGUAAGAAUAAGCACCGGCUAACUACGUGCCAGCCGCCGCAGUAA
rnacentral:rRNA from 1 species